UAUAAAUCGGCAAAGUCUUGUCAUCCUCCUCAUCACUAAUAUCAUAUCUCCAAAAACCUACUUUCCAAUGGAUCACCUUCCAUCUCUGAAGAUAAUUGAGAUCUGUAAAGUGGCUCCUCCGCCGCCGGAGGCGUCACGUGCCGCGGCUGUGCCGUCGUCUCUUCCUCUCACCUUCUUCGACCUGUUAUGGCUGAGGUUCCAUCCAAUCCAACGCCUUUUCUUCUACGAGUUACCGUCUAAUGAUAUAUCUUUUGUUGACGAAGUUGUUCCGAACCUCAAAACCUCUCUUUCUCUUACUCUUCGCUAUUAUCUUCCUCUGGCUGGCAACCUCGUUUGGCUUCCACACUCUGACGUUCCGACCGUCGAGUUUGUCGACGGGGACGGCGUUUCUCUGACGGUGGCUGAGUCGGGAGCUGACUUUUACCGACUUUCUGGCAAUGGGUUCCGUGAAGUUUCUGAAUUUCAUCCUCUUGUCCCCCAAUUGCCUGUUUCCCAUGAUCGUGCUGCAGUGAUUGCCGUUCAGGUCACCACAUUUCAAAACAAAGGGUUUUCCAUUGGAAUAACCAAUCACCAUGCAAUUCUUGACGGAUUAACCUCAACUUCAUUUAUCAAAUCGUGGGCUCAAAUUUGCAUGGACGAAUCAUCUGUUCCAAUCGCCAACCUAAUGCCAUUCUAUGACAGGUCGGUUAUUGAUGAUCCAAAAGGUCUUGCCAAAAUCUAUGCAAGCGCAUGGAUGAACCAAGACGGACCCGACAACAGGAGCUUAAACCUUAAACUACCCAAAACUAAACCUAGUUUAAUCCGAAGCACUUUUGAGUUCACACACCAAAACCUGCAGAAGCUAAAGCAAUGGAUUUUGAAGAAGAACGAUGAGAAGAUGUCUUCAUUUGUAGUGGCAAUGGCUUAUCUUUGUGUAUGUACAGCCAAGUUGGAAGGUUUAAGAGAUGGAAAUUUGUUUUUCGUGUUUUCUGGUGAUGUUAGAUCUCGUUUAAAGCCACCGGUGCCUUUGAAUUACUUUGGAAAUUGCGUGGUUGGUAGUUUUCUUUCCUUUGAAAGAAUUGAGCUUUUGGGUGAAAAUGGCAUAGCUUUGGCUUGUGAACAGAUCUCGAAGGCUACUAAGAAUUUAGGAGGAGGAGGAGCUUUAAAGGGAGCAGACAAUUUGGGUACAAUUAUGAGUGAAGUGACCAAUGAUUAUUCCAAAAUACAACCCAUUGGCCUUGCUGGGUCACCUAGAUUUGGAGUUUAUAGUGCAGAUUUUGGAUGGGGAAAGCCAAUGAAGGUGGAAAUAGUGUCAGCUGAAUCACCAUUAGUGUUUUCUUUGAGUGAUAGCAAAAAUAGCGAUGUGGGAAUGGAGAUUGGAGUGGUUAAGGAGAGGGAGCAAAUGGAAACUUUUGUUGCUCUGUUCAAUGAAGGUUUUGAUGCUCUUUGAAAUCAUUGGAGUCAGACUCAAAUGUGUUAUCAACUGUGGAUGUAUUUUAAGGCUUAUUUUAUUAUUUUUUAUGAUUAUUUUGUUUGCA